UUUUUUUUUUUUUUUUCUUCUUUAAUAGAAGGGGGCAAGUAUUUUGGGUUAUUGAAAAAUGGAACCACUAAUUUUGGCAUUUAUUUGUGGUUAUUAUGCAUUCCCAAUUGAGUAAAAAUUGUGGAUUUAAUACUCUUAUUGAGUGGUCAAAACUCAAAAGGCGUAGGGGGCUUUUGGUUAAUCCUGGAAAUGGAAAUGGACAUCAUCUAGGUAUACUAUUCCUAUUCAAUUUUUUAUUAUUGAAUGAUAUGUGGCUUAAUGGUCAGUGUCAAGAUGAUUCUUAAAACUACAUUUCAUUUCCACCUAAAUUUAAGCGAGCAAAACAUAAGAAAAUCAUAAGAAGUUUGGAUUACUUGAGUGAAAACAAGAAAAUGAAAUCUUAUUAAAGCAUUGUGUUUCAUUUCCAUUUCUAAAUGAAAUCAGACGAGCCUUGCGUGCAUUUGACUAAUGAGAACCUUGAUCUAUAGAACACCUGAGUGGCUUAAGAAGAUAUUUGCAACAGCCACCAAGAGUGAGAGGAAUGGUCCUGUGUUUCGUUUUUUCGUGGAUUUAGGUGAUGCAGGUACCUUUUGAGUUUUGACCAAUAUCAUCUAUUAAUUUUAAGUUCUCUCAUCCUUUUCUUUAAUUAUUCUUCUUGUAAUUGAUAUUCUUUAUUCUGGUAAUGUUUCUUUUUAUCAAAGGAAAUAACUUAAAUUCUGAUUUGAUUAUGUUUUAGUUGCAUAUGUUAAACGGCUAAAUAUUCCAAGUGGUGUGGUGGGUGCUUGUCGUCUUGAUUUGGCAUAUGAACAUUUCA
rnacentral:misc_RNA from 1 species